rnacentral:rRNA from 1 species
GGGUGAGUAACACGUGGGCAAUCUGCCCUUCACUCUGGGACAAGCCCUGGAAACGGGGUCUAAUACCGGAUAACACCGGCUUCCGCAUGGAAGCUGGUUGAAAGCUCCGGCGGUGAAGGAUGAGCCCGCGGCCUAUCAGCUUGUUGGUGGGGUAAUGGCCUACCAAGGCGACGACGGGUAGCCGGCCUGAGAGGGCGACCGGCCACACUGGGACUGAGACACGGCCCAGACUCCUACGGGAGGCAGCAGUGGGGAAUAUUGCACAAUGGGCGAAAGCCUGAUGCAGCGACGCCGCGUGAGGGAUGACGGCCUUCGGGUUGUAAACCUCUUUCAGCAGGGAAGAAGCGAAAGUGACGGUACCUGCAGAAGAAGCGCCGGCUAACUACGUGCCAGCAGCCGCGGUAAUACGUAGGGCGCAAGCGUUGUCCGGAAUUAUUGGGCGUAAAGAGCUCGUAGGCGGCUUGUCACGUCGGGUGUGAAAGCCCGGGGCUUAACCCCGGGUCUGCAUCCGAUACGGGCAGGCUAGAGUGUGGUAGGGGAGAUCGGAAUUCCUGGUGUAGCGGUGAAAUGCGCAGAUAUCAGGAGGAACACCGGUGGCGAAGGCGGAUCUCUGGGCCAUUACUGACGCUGAGGAGCGAAAGCGUGGGGAGCGAACAGGAUUAGAUACCCUGGUAGUCCACGCCGUAAACGUUGGGAACUA